CCGGCGACCGGCGGACGGGUGCGUAACGCGUAUGUAACCUACCUUUGACAGGGGGAUAACAUCGAGAAAUUGGUACUAAUACCCCAUAACAUCACCGGAGGCAUCUUCGGUGGUUGAAAACUCAGGUGGUCAGAGAUGGACAUGCGUUGUAUUAGCUAGUUGGUGAGGUAACGGCUCACCAAGGCGACGAUACAUAGGGGGGCUGAGAGGUCAACCCCCCACAUUGGUACUGAGACACGGACCAAACUCCUACGGGAGGCAGCAG
rnacentral:rRNA from 1 species